GACGAACGCUGGCGGCGUGCUUAACACAUGCAAGUCGAACGAGUGGCGAACGGGUGAGUAACACGUGGGUGACCUGCCCUGCACUUCGGGAUAAGCCUGGGAAACUGGGUCUAAUAACGGAUAGUGUGGGAUGGGCCCGCGGCCUAUCAGCUUGUUGGGGGGGUAAUGGCUACCAAGGCGCGACGGGUAGCCGGCCUGUGAGGGUGGACGGCCAAAUUGGGACUGAGACACGUCCCAGACUCCUACGGGAGGCAGCAGUGGGGAAUAUUGCACAAUGGGCGGAAGCCUGAUGAAGCGACGCCGCGGGUAUGAAGAAGGCCUUAGGGUUGUAAAGUACUUUCAGCGGGGAGGCGUUACCCGCAGAAGAAGCACCGGCUAACUCCGUGCCAGCAGCCGCGGUAAUUC
rnacentral:rRNA from 1 species